GUGCAGACGUUUCCAGCGAGGCCGAACCUGCGGUGGUUCGGUUCUGGCCUGUUGUGUCUGCUAGAGGAACCGGAGGCUGUUUGAGGCCCAGCUGUGGUUCGGUUCUUCACGGCUCGGUUAUAGGUAAACCUCCUACAAAC
ensembl:snoRNA